AAACUCUUACUGUGCUGCUCAUCUCUCUCCAGUGGGGCAGUGACAUCCUUCUUCUUCAUGUUCCUCAGGAUAUGGAGUGUGAUCUUCAGAGACCCCUCAAUGCCACAGGUCUCCAGCAUCUUCUCAACUAUGUACAGGGCCUCAGGAUCCUCCUGCUCUCUCUCAGUGCAUUCUGGGUAAUCAGCAAGUUGAUGACUCUUGAACACUUCCUUGAUCUUCAUAAGCUUAUCCAGUACAGAAGGAUCUUCAGGAAGACUAUGUAAGCAUUCUGGGCAAACCUGACUCAGAUGGCUCUGAAACAGUUUCAACUUUUCAGUCUUCUUCAGCUUCAUCAGAGUGCGCAGGAGAGACUGAAAUAAACACAUGAAGAGGUGUGCUGUAUCAGAGUGAAAUAAAUACAUGAAGAGGUACGCUGUCUCAGUGUGAAAUAAACACAUGAAGAGGUAUGCUGUAUCAGUGUGAAAUAAACACGUGAAUAUGUGUGCUGUAUCAGUGUGAAAUAAACACAUGAAGAGGUGUGCUGUCUCAGUGUGAAAUAAACACAUGAAGAGGUGUGCUGUAUCAGCGUGAAAUAAACACAUGAAGAGGUGUGCUGUCUCAGUG